CUACUUACCUGGUGCCGGGGUCACCGUGAUCAGCUAGGAGGUGCCCCCAGGGAGAGGCGCGGGCAUUGCACUGCGCUCGUGCUGACCCCUGCCACUACCCCAAACUGGGGCAGAUGGGGCAUGCAAUUUUUGGUAGUGGGGGACUGCGUUCGCGCUAUCCCCCU
rnacentral:snRNA from 1 species